AGGAGGAACGCCGUUCCUCUCGAUCCCCUCCCGUCGCCGCCGCCGUCCUCUCGAUCCCCUCCCGUCGCCGCCACCAUCCUCUCGAUCCCCUCGAGUAAGCGGCGCCGCCGUUGGCUCCCGAUCUCCUCGAUUAAACGCCGCCGCCGUCGUCUCUCGAUGCCCUCAAGAUCGCUGCGCCGCCAUCGUCUCUCCAUCCCCUCGAGAUCCCAGAUCCCACACCGCCACCGCCGUCGCCUCCUCCGCUGGCGACGCGGCGAACGAGAGACAAGGGGAACGAUGGUCUCCACCGCGGCGGAGGAGGGCGAGGACCCGCGCUGGAGGAGGAACAACAUGGUUCAUGAUGCUUGUUUGCGCUAUGGAGAAUCGGAGCUAUGGUGUCUCCCCCAUCCCUCGUUGCGUCAUGGCCAGCUCCCUCCAUAGCACCACAUCGGCUUAUAAUCACGUCGCGCUAGGUAUGGGCCCACGGGAGCCAGCGCUCGGCGGCCCCAGGUCCGGUGUUCCUCGUUGCCGCCGUCGGCUCCGCCACCUACCUCGACGACGGGAUCCAGAGCCUCCGCAUCCUCCUCCUUCUGUUGGGCGAUGACAAGGAUCCGAUGUUGUGUGCUGCUCCAUCUACACGCCUUCUUUCUCAUAGGAAUCUGUAUCGCAGGUUAGUCCUCGAUCUUCCAUGUGGCUUACUGAAUUUGAAGUAGUGAUUGAACUAUGAUCUGAGGCAAAUUUGUGGAGAGAUUCAGUAGUUGAAGCAUCCCGAUUGAUAACAUACACGUUAGUACUCUGAACCUCCAAAUUCCCUGCUCUGUUCUUCCAGAAGAUACAUUAUUAGAUCCUUUUUUCCUGAGACGAGUCUACAUUUUUAUAUGCUAACAUUGCUGUUCAUGAGAACGCAACAACACCAUCAAUUUUAACACAUAUUUUGAGUUUUACUGAUUUGUCUGCAAGUAGAAUUUGUGGAUUAUCAAUUCAAGAAAUGGGGGCACUGUUUGGGCAAGCCACUAUUGAGAUGUUUCCGCAAAUGACAUGAUACACCAUCAUACUUUCUAUUUUCUGCAUUAGUUUUAGUUUAUUGCGAUAUUUAAGUAAAUGUGAUCCCUUUUAAUUAGCCCAAGUUUUUUUAUAAAUGGUAGUACGGUAUUUCUUCUGAUAGAAUAUAUUAAACAAUCCAAGUUUUGUUCUUGGAACUAUACAAGUGCAUCUCCUAUUUUAUUGUAAUAGCAUGAUGCACUUAAUUUUCUUAUGAGUGAUAAUUCUAUGUGAUUAUAUGAUUAUUGGAGCUCACAUUUUUUAAGCGAUGCAUCAUGUGUUAUUGAUUUUAAUUUGUCAUAGACAAUAGUAAAAGGGAAAAUCUGGUUGAAAAGUAUGUGGUGUACAGUUUAUAAAAACUUUCCGGGCUCAUAAAAAUGAAAUAUGAUUUAGUGUUACUAGAAGAGAGAUCUUGAUUCGUGGCUUUGAUUUAGUUUGAGUUAUUUAUUUUAAGUUUUAUGCUUCAUAAAUCAGUAUGCUGAUGCUUGGUACUAUAAUCAUGUGACCUACGAGAUCAAGGCCUGGAUACACAAGAGGCAGUACCAAGCAGCUACUACUCUCCGGCGACAGCAACAACAAGGCAUGUUGCCUUCUAUUCUUUUUGGAACCUAGCUAUUCGUGUGCUUUUCCUAUCACCGUGAAUCAAAUAAUAGUUGUCAAAGCUCUUGGCUUAAGACAUUCAAAUUUAUACAAAUAUUUUCUUGAAUAGCUGCUCGAAUAUUUUUCUUUUGCAAGGAUCAAGUACAUCUAUGUUUCAUUACUCACAUCUCAAAAUAAUGUUCUGUAAUCAGGAUGCAUGAUUGGCAUGGACCAUGGAGUAUGGAUCAUCUUGCCAUGUUGUGUUCUUCUUGUGUUUAAGAUUGUGCUUUUGCAGAUGAAGUUGUUGAUCCUGCUGAGGCGCGCCGCUGUCAUCGGGAUAUUUGUGAGGGGAAGCGCCCUUUUCGAGAGAUUCCAGAGAAGAAAUAUGUUUUGGGCACGCCGCCUCCUGGUCUGAGUGGUGUUUCAGCUGGUGCUCUGCUGGGGGUCUCUUUGCUGCGGCCCCUCUCUUUGCUGGUGCAUUGGCUGCUGUGCUAGAUAUUUCGUCUUUGGGCUCUUCUUGCUUGGUGGAUAUUCAUAUGUACGGAGAUGCUGGCUGCCCAUCUAUUUUGCAAAGGACAAUUUCUUCCAGUUCUAAUGUGCGCACGAGUGGGGGGCGUCAGGGUUCGUUGUCAGCUAGCUGUCUGAAUCUUCGUGCUUCGGAUUUGUCUCAUGAUCUGCUGCACGUACGACACGUACGACAAGGGGACAACAGAAUUCUACUGAAUUGUGGCGGCGCCAUCGAGAGAUUCAUGAAUGAAAUGUCCUGUGUUGGGUUCUUCAGAUUAUGCCUGAACCAGCAGGAGCCUCCGAAGCAGCAAGAGAGUAAUGGAUGGGGAAACUGGCAGAUCCGUUUGUGUGGACGACAGCUCGAUGGUGGCAACUCGGCUAGGUUUGCCGUGAGAAGGCCAGACUACGCGAGAGAUUUGGCGUGUGUAGUUUAUGUUGUUGGUAAUUACGGUGGAGUGUGGUUAGAUUAUCAGCUUUUUUAGAUGCAUAGGGCAUCGAAGGAGCGGUGGAUAUGAGCUCCUACGGCAAAACUACUGCGCCUUGAGCAACGUCAGAGGAGCCGGCCCCGCUGAGAAUACAUUUUAUUUUCUCUAGCCGAUUAAUUCCAAUAAUUAAUGAGGGCUAAUGCACCCCGGGAGCAGCUGCCAAGAUGGAAGUUUGUAGCAAAUAGGACGCCUUCCAUCAAAGGGAAACUACGGCCAACUCCGCUCUGGUUGGCCGGCGAUGCAUGACGAGGCCAAUGGACAGCUCGGUGCUACACAAAUGAAUCAAGGAGAACAUAUUAACAGACCAGCAACGUGCUAGGAGGCCAACAGGAGCAUUACCUGGUGUUGACCGGCGGGCAAAUGACAUCAUAUAUGUUUUUGUCCAACCAAGGUAACCCUCCAAACAGUGCCCUGAUAGUCAUAUAUUCCUUAAUGUUUUGGCCUGGAAACAAGUUUAGUUGCAACUCUUUUGCUAUCAUGUUUUCCAAAUUUCGUUCACUAGGGUUCCUUUCUUAUUAUCAUCUUCCGGAUAUAUAUUAGGGCAAACGGAUAUAUAUUUGCUUCUUUUAUUAGCAUUCCGACAACACUCCAGCAUAGACUCGUCGUGAUACCUGGACGUGGGCUGGUAAACGGAGGUAACAGGGAGCCUCAACAUCAGGACAUCAAGAAGGAAGCUGAUGAUGAUGAUGAGUACGACCAUCUUGGCAUGGAUUGCUGCGGCUGCCAUGCCCAUGUCCAGCAACAUGUUGUCGUGCCAGUGCUGCAACCUUCUACUCCAAACACGGUCGCAAGCAAUGUGAUCAUGAAGUUCUGGGAUACUUAACAUUCCCUAUAUUUUUCUAGCAAUGUCUUAGUUAAGACGUAGAUGCAAGGGCUCAUAUAAAUCUCAAUGAAUUUAUAUUAGUUACCAUGAUAAUUUGAUUGUAUAUAUGAGCAUAUCCGAAUCAUUUUAGGCUUAUAAUGGCAUUUCCUUUAAUGAUUUA